UACAGAGGUCCCGAGCGUUGUUCGGAUUCACUGGGCGUAAAGGGUGCGCAGGUGGCAUGGUAAGUUCGAUGUGAAAGCCCCGGGCUUAACCCGGGAAAGGCAUUGGAUACUACUGUGCUGGAGGAUUGGAGGGGGGACUGGAAUUCUUGGUGUAGCAGUGAAAUGCGUAGAUAUCAAGAGGAACACCAGUGGCGAAGGCGAGUCCCUGGACAAUACCUGACACUGAGGCACGAAAGCCAAGGGAGCAAACAGG
rnacentral:rRNA from 1 species